rnacentral:rRNA from 1 species
AUUGAACGCUGGCGGCAGGCUAACACAUGCAAGUCGAGCGGAUGAAGGGAGCUUGCUCCUGGAUUCAGCGGCGGACGGGUGAGUAAUGCCUAGGAAUCUGCCUGGUAGUGGGGGAUAACGUCCGGAAACGGGCGCUAAUACCGCAUACGUCCUGAGGGAGAAAGUGGGGGAUCUUCGGACCUCACGCUAUCAGAUGAGCCUAGGUCGGAUUAGCUAGUUGGUGGGGUAAAGGCCUACCAAGGCGACGAUCCGUAACUGGUCUGAGAGGAUGAUCAGUCACACUGGAACUGAGACACGGUCCAGACUCCUACGGGAGGCAGCAGUGGGGAAUAUUGGACAAUGGGCGAAAGCCUGAUCCAGCCAUGCCGCGUGUGUGAAGAAGGUCUUCGGAUUGUAAAGCACUUUAAGUUGGGAGGAAGGGCAGUAAGUUAAUACCUUGCUGUUUUGACGUUACCAACAGAAUAAGCACCGGCUAACUUCGUG